rnacentral:rRNA from 1 species
AUUGAACGCUGGCGGCAUGCCUUACACAUGCAAGUCGAACGGCAGCAUGGAGAGCUUGCUCUCUGAUGGCGAGUGGCGAACGGGUGAGUAAAGCAUCGGAACGUACCGUGUAGUGGGGGAUAACGUAGCGAACGUUACGCCUAUACCGCAUAGGCACUGAGGGGGAAAGCCGGGUAUCGUAAGAACUUGCGCUAUACGAGCGGCCGAUGACAGAUUAGCUAGAUGGUGGGGUAAAGGCCUACCAAGGCGACGAUCUGUAGCGGGUCGUGGAGGAUGAUCCGCCACACUGGGACGGAGACACGGCCCGGACUCCUACGGGAGGCAGCAGUGGGGAAUUUUGGACAAUGGGGGCAACCCUGAUCCAGCCAUGCCGCGUGAGUGAAGAAGGCCUUCGGGUUGUAAAGCUCUUUCGGCCGGGAAGAAAUCGCACAGGCUAAGACCCUGUGUGGAUGACGGUACCGGCAUAAGAAGCACCGGCUAACUACGUGCCAGCCGCCGCGGUAA